rnacentral:rRNA from 1 species
CCUACGGGAGGCAGCAGUGAGGAAUAUUGGUCAAUGGGCUGACGCCUGAACCAGCCAAGUCGCGUGAGGGAAGACUGCCCUAUGGGUUGUAAACCUCUUUUGUCAGGGAGCAACGCCGGCUACGUGUAGCCGGACUGAGAGUACCUGCAGAAAAAGCAUCGGCUAACUCCGUGCCAGCAGCCGCGGUACUACGGAGGAUGCGAGCGUUAUCCGGAUUGAUUGGGUUGAAAGGGUGCGUAGGCGGAAUGCCAAGUCAGCGGUAAAAUCGCGGGGCUCAACCUCGCUCCGACGUUGAAAAUGGCGUUCUCGAGUGGGCGAGAAGUAUGCGGAAUGCGUGGUGUAGCGGUGAAAUGCAUAGAUAUCACGCAGAACUCCGAUUGCGAAGGCAGCAUACCGGCGCCCAACUGACGCUGAAGCACGAAAGCGUGGGUAUCGAACAGGAUUAGAUACCCUUGUAGUC